rnacentral:rRNA from 1 species
CAUCUUUAAUAGGAUGUUACGAUUGUGUGAAUACAUAGCACAUUCGAGGUAGACGCAGAGAACUGAAACAUCUAAGUACCUGCAGGAAGAGAAAGAAAAUUCGAUUCCCUGAGUAGCGGCGAGCGAAACGGGAAAAGCCCAAACCAACAAGCUUGCUUGUUGGGGUUGUAGGACUCCAAUAUGGUCGUUCUUUCAGAUAGUCGAAUGACUUGGAAAAGUCAGUCAAAGAGGGUAAAAACCCCGUAGACGAAAUGUGGAAGACACCUAGGAGGAUCCUGAGUACGGCGGAACACGAGAAAUUCCGUCGGAAUCCGGGAGGACCAUCUCCCAAGGCUAAAUACUCCCUAGUGACCGAUAGUGAACCAGUACCGUGAGGGAAAGGUGAAAAGCACCCCGGAAGGGGAGUGAAAUAGAACCUGAAACCGUGUGCCUACAACAAGUCAAAGCCCGUUAAUGGGUGAUGGCGUGCCUUUUGUAGAAUGAACCGGCGAGUUACGAUUGCAUGCGAGGUUAAGUUGAAGAGACGGAGCCGCAGCGAAAGCGAGUCUGAAUAGGGCGUUUGAGUAUGUAGUCGUAGACCCGAAACCAUGUGAUCUACCCAUGUCCAGGUUGAAGGUGCGGUAAAACGCACUGGAGGACCGAACCCACGUACGUUGAAAAGUGCGGGGAUGAGGUGUGGGUAGCGGAGAAAUUCCAAACGAACUUGGAGAUAGCUGGUUCUCUCCGAAAUAGCUUUAGGGCUAGCCUCGGAAUUGAGAAUGAUGGAGGUAGAGCACUGUUUGGACUAGGGGCCCAUCUCGGGUUACCGAAUUCAGAUAAACUCCGAAUGCCAUUCAUUCAUAUCCGGGAGUCAGACUGUGAGUGAUAAGAUCCAUAGUCGAAAGGGAAACAGCCCAGACCACCAGCUAAGGUCCCAAAAUAUAUGUUAAGUGGAAAAGGAUGUGGGGUUGCACAGACAACUAGGAUGUUGGCUUAGAAGCAGCCACCAUUUAAAGAGUGCGUAAUAGCUCACUAGUCGAGUGACCCUGCGCCGAAAAUGUACCGGGGCUAAACAUAUUACCGAAGCUGUGGAGUACACCUUUAGGUGUAUUGGUAGGAGAGCGUUCUAAGGGCGUCGAAGGCAGAUCGUGAGGACUGCUGGAGCGCUUAGAAGUGAGAAUGCCGGUAUGAGUAGCGAAAGACAGGUGAGAAUCCUGUCCACCGAAUGACUAAGGUUUCCUGGGGAAGGCUCGUCCGCCCAGGGUUAGUCGGGACCUAAGCCGAGGCCGAUAGGCGUAGGCGAUGGAUAACAGGUUGAUAUUCCUGUACCCGUUGUUUUUGUUUGAGCAAUGGAGGGACGCAGGAGGCUAAGGAAUGCAGACGAU